GACGAACGCUGGCGGCGUGCUUAACACAUGCAAGUCGAACGAUGAACUCCAGCUUGCUGGGGGGAUUAGUGGCGAACGGGUGAGUAACACGUGAGUAACCUGCCCUUGACUCUGGGAUAAGCGCUGGAAACGGCGUCUAAUACCGGAUAUGACCUUCAGCCGCAUGGCUUGUUGGUGGAAAGAAUUUCGGUCAAGGAUGGACUCGCGGCCUAUCAGGUAGUUGGUGAGGUAAUGGCUCACCAAGCCUACGACGGGUAGCCGGCCUGAGAGGGUGACCGGCCACACUGGGACUGAGACACGGCCCAGACUCCUACGGGAGGCAGCAGUGGGGAAUAUUGCACAAUGGGCGCAAGCCUGAUGCAGCAACGCCGCGUGAGGGAUGACGGCCUUCGGGUUGUAAACCUCUUUUAGUAGGGAAGAAGCGAAAGUGACGGUACCUGCAGAAAAAGCACCGGCUAACUACGUGCCAGCAGCCGCGGUAAUACGUAGGGUGCAAGCGUUGUCCGGAAUUAUUGGGCGUAAAGAGCUCGUAGGCGGUUUGUCGCGUCUGCUGUGAAAUCUGGGGGCUCAACCCCCAGCCUGCAGUGGGUACGGGCAGACUAGAGUGCGGUAGGGGAGAUUGGAAUUCCUGGUGUAGCGGUGGAAUGCGCAGAUAUCAGGAGGAACGCCGAUGGCGAAGGCAGAUCUCUGGGCCGUUACUGACGCUGAGGAGCGAAAGCGUGGGGAGCGAACAGGAUUAGAUACCCUGGUAGUCCACGCCGUAAACGUUGGGAACUAGAUGUGGGGGCCAUUCCACGGUCUCCGUGUCGCAGCUAACGCAUUAAGUUCCCCGCCUGGGGAGUACGGCCGCAAGGCUAAAACUCAAAGGAAUUGACGGGGGCCCGCACAAGCGGCGGAGCAUGCGGAUUAAUUCGAUGCAACGCGAAGAACCUUACCAAGGCUUGACAUAUACCGGAAACAUCCAGAGAUGGUCGCCCCGCAAGGUCGGUAUACAGGCGGUGCAUGGUUGUCGUCAGCUCGUGUCGUGAGAUGUUGGGUUAAGUCCCGCAACGAGCGCAACCCUCGUUCUAUGUUGCCAGCACGUUAUGGUGGGAACUCAUAGGAGACUGCCGGGGUCAACUCGGAGGAAGGUGGGGAUGACGUCAAAUCAUCAUGCCCCUUAUGUCUUGGGCUUCACGCAUGCUACAAUGGCCGGUACAAAGGGCUGCGAUACCGUAAGGUGGAGCGAAUCCCAAAAAGCCGGUCUCAGUUCGGAUUGAGGUCUGCAACUCGACCUCAUGAAGUCGGAGUCGCUAGUAAUCGCAGAUCAGCAACGCUGCGGUGAAUACGUUCCCGGGCCU
rnacentral:rRNA from 1 species